CGUCGUGUUGUAACGCUUUGCGGUGGUGUCGAUCAAACCGGCAAAGCCGUCGGCGUAGUCCUGGCGGACCGGGUGCCAUCCUGCCGCGGCGCC
rnacentral:tRNA from 1 species